AUUGAACGCUGGCGGCAGGCUUCACACAUGCAAGUCGAGCGAGCGGCGGACGGGUGAGUAAUGUCUGGGAAACUGCCUGAUGGAGGGGGAUAACUACUGGAAACGGUAGCUAAUACCGCAUACCAUCAGAUGUGCCCAGAUGGGAGUAGCUAGUAGGUGGGGUACUGGCUACCUUAGGCGACGAUCCCUAGCUGGUCUGAGAGGAUGACCAGCCCCACUGUAACGGAGACACGGUCCAGACUCCUACGGUAGGGCGCAGUGGGGGAUAUUGCACAAUGGGCGCAAGCCUGGUGCAGCCAUGCCGUGUGUGUUAAGAAGGCCUUCGGGUUGUAAAGCACUUUCAGCGAGGAGGCGUUACUCGCAGAAGAAGCACCGGCUAACUCCGUGCCAGCAGCCGCGGUAAUUC
rnacentral:rRNA from 1 species